rnacentral:rRNA from 1 species
GAGACAGGUGGUGCAUGGUUGUCGUCAGCUCGUGUCGUGAGAUGUUGGGUUAAGUCCCGCAACGAGCGCAACCCUUACCUUCAGUAACCAGCACGUAAUGGUGGGGACUCUGGAGGGACUGCCAGGGACAACCUGGAGGAAGGUGGGGAUGACGUCAAAUCAUCAUGCCCCUUAUGACCAGGGCUACACACGUGCUACAAUGGCGUAAACAAAGAGAGGCGAGGCUGUGAAGCGGAGCAAAUCUCAAAAAUAACGUCUCAGUUCGGAUUGUAGUCUGCAACUCGACUACAUGAAGCUGGAAUCGCUAGUAAUCGCGAAUCAGAAUGUCGCGGUGAAUACGUUCCCGGGUCUUGUACACACCGCCCGUCACACCAUGGGAGUUGGUAACGCCCGAAGUCAGUGACCCAACCUUUACGGAGGGAGCUGCCGAAGGCGGGACCGGUAACUGGGGUGAAGUCGUAACAAGGUAGCCGUAUCGGAAGGUGCGGCUGGAUCACCUCCUUUCUAAGGAA